rnacentral:rRNA from 1 species
GCGGCAAGCCUAACACAUGCAAGUCGAGCGGCAGCGGGAGAAAGCUUGCUUUCUUGCCGGCGAGCGGCGGACGGGUGAGUAAGGUAUGGGGAUCUGGCCGAAGGCGGGGGAUAACCACUGGAAACGGUGGCUAAUACUGCAUAAUCUCUAAGGAGCAAAGUGGGGGACCAUUUGGCCUCACACCUUCGGAUGAACCCAUAUGAGAUUAGCUAGUAGGUGGGGUAAAGGCUCACCUAGGCGACGAUCUCUAGCUGGUCUGAGAGGAUGAUCAGCCACACUGGGACUGAGACACGGCCCAGACUCCUACGGGAGGCAGCAGUGGGGAAUAUUGCACAAUGGGCGCAAGCCUGAUGCAGCCAUGCCGCGUGUAUGAAGAAGGCCUUCGGGUUGUAAAGUACUUUCAGUCGUGAGGAAGGUGUUAAGGUUAAUAGUCUUAGCAAUUGACGUUAGCGACAGAAGAAGCACCGGCUAACUCCGUGCCAGCAGCCGCGGUAAUACGGAGGGUGCGAGCGUUAAUCGGAAUUACUGGGCGUAAAGGGCACGCAGGCGGUUAAUUAAGUUGGAUGUGAAAUCCCCGGGCUUAACCUGGGAAUGGCAUUCAAGACUGGUUAGCUAGAGUCUUGUAGAGGGGGGUAGAAUUCCAUGUGUAGCGGUGAAAUGCGUAGAGAUGUGGAGGAAUACCGGUGGCGAAGGCGGCCCCCUGGACAAAGACUGACGCUCAUGUGCGAAAGCGUGGGGAGCAAACAAGAUUAGAUACCCUGGUAGUCCACGCUGUAAACGAUGUCGAUUUGGAGGUUGUGGUCCUGAACUGUGGCCUCCGGAGCUAACGCGUUAAAUCGACCGCCUGGGGAGUACGGCCGCAAGGUUAAAACUCAAAUGAAUUGACGGGGGCCCGCACAAGCGGUGGAGCAUGUGGUUUAAUUCGAUGCAACGCGAAGAACCUUACCUACUCUUGACAUCCAGCGAAGCCUUUAGAGAUAGAGGCGUGCCUUCGGGAGCGCUGAGACAGGUGCUGCAUGGCUGUCGUCAGCUCGUGUUGAGAAAUGUUGGGUUAAG